GACGAACGCUGGCGGCGUGCCUAAUACAUGCAAGUAGAACGCUGAAGAGAGGAGCUUGCUCUUCUUGGAUGAGUUGCGAACGGGUGAGUAACGCGUAGGUAACCUGCCUGGUAGCGGGGGAUAACUAUUGGAAACGAUAGCUAAUACCGCAUAAAAUUGAUUAUUGCAUGAUAAUUAAUUGAAAGAUGCAACUGCAUCACUACCAGAUGGACCUGCGCUGUAUUAGCUAGUUGGUGAGGUAACGGCUCACCAAGGCGACGAUACAUAGCCGACCUGAGAGGGUGAUCGGCCACACUGGGACUGAGACACGGCCCAGACUCCUACGGGGAGCAGCAGUAGGGAAACUUCGGCAAUGGGGGGAACGCUGAACGAGCAACGCCGCGGGAGUGAAGAAGGGUUUCGGAUCGUAAAGCUCUGUUGUAAGAGAAGAACGGGUGUGAGAGUGGAAAGUUCACACUGUGACGGUAGCUUAACAGAAAGGGACGGCUAACUACGUG
rnacentral:rRNA from 1 species